GACCAGACUCCUACGGGAGGCAGCAGUGGGGAAUAUUGGGCAAUGGGCGCAAGCCUGACCCAGCAACGCCGCGUGAAGGAAGAAGGCUUUCGGGCUGUAAACUUCUUUUAUGAGGGACGAAGGAAGUGACGGUACCUCAUGAAUAAGCCACGGCUAACUACGUGCCAGCAGCCGCGGUAAUACGUAGGUGGCGAGCGUUAUCCGGAUUUACUGGGUGUAAAGGGCGUGUAGGCGGGAUUGCAAGUCAGAUGUGAAAACUAUGGGCUCAACCCAUAGCCUGCAUUUGAAACUGUAGUUCUUGAGUACUGGAGAGGCAGACGGAAUUCCUAGUGUAGCGGUGAAAUGCGUAGAUAUUAGGAGGAACACCAGUGGCGAGGGCGGUCUGCUGGACAGCAACUGACGCUGAGGCGCGAAAGCGUGGGGAGCAAACAGGAUUAGAUACCCCGGUAGC
rnacentral:rRNA from 1 species